ensembl:lncRNA
CAGAUCCAUAUCCGAACGGCCGGCUUGAGCCGGCGGCUUGGCUCGUGUGCUGCCGUGCCUGAGGCACCCCGGCACGGUGCAGUCCUUCUGCUUUUUGGUCUCCUGACGGCAUGUUAGGAGUUAGGUGUUCCUCCUGCCGGCUCAGAUCGGGGAAGGCCGUGUUCCUGGAGGCAAAGAAGAGAAAAAAGUGUCAGUUGAUGUUGCAGAAGAUGGAGCCAUGGUCUGUGUUAGGUCCAUUUCACCCGGUGCUGCAGACGUGCUUUAAAUGUCUCUCGAUCUACAACUUUAAUAAGCCUCCUGGGCCUUUCUUUGGAAAUUUCAUCUGCAACUCUAAAUAAACCCGCUUGUAUCUCUGAUGCUUCCAUUUGGAUUAAAAAGCCAAAUGAUCUUGUUUUAAGUUUCGUACAGGGAACGUUUGAAGGUACAUGGAGAUGGAUAACCAACACUGGACCUGGGCUCCAACUUAGCACACAGAAAAAUAAACACAUUUUUAAGCUUUUUUUUUUCCUGCUUUCUUUAACAAAUUGUUCUGAGCCUGUUGUAGUGCUUAAAUUCAUUCCCGUGUUUACUGAAUAAAAAAGGAUUUCUGCAGAA